GACGUAGGGGGCGAGCGUUGUCCGGAUUCAUUGGGCGUAAAGAGCGCGUAGGCGGCCCGGAAAGUGGGGUGUGAAAACCCGAGGCUCAACCUCGGGCGUGCAUCCAAACUCCCGGGCUCGAGGCAGGUAGGGGAGAUCGGAAUUCCUGGUGUAGCGGUGAAAUGCGCAGAUAUCAGGAGGAACACCGGUGGCGAAGGCGGAUCUCUGGGCCGUGUUCUGACGCUGAGGCGCGAAAGCUAGGGGAGCGAACAGG
rnacentral:rRNA from 1 species